rnacentral:rRNA from 1 species
GUGCCAGCCGCCGCGGUAAAACGUAGGAGGCGAGCGUUAUCCGGAUUUACUGGGCGUAAAGCGCGUGCAGGCGGUUUGGUAAGUCGUGCGUGAAAGCUCCCAGGCUCAACCGGGAGAGGUCGUGCGAGACUGCCAGACUAGAGUUAGAGAGAGGCCAGUAGAAUUCCGGGUGUAGUGGUGAAAUGCGUAGAGAUCCGGAGGAAUACCAGAGGCGAAGGCGGCUGGCUGGCUCUAAACUGACGCUCAGACGCGAAAGCAUGGGGAGCGAACGGGAUUAGAAACCCCAGUAGUCC